UAGCGAGUGUUAUGGUUUCGAGAGUGUCGUGGCCGACGGAUAUUCUCUCUGGCCCUUUGCGUACGGAAGACUCGUGCAAGUUCGUCGCGGUUCGAACGGUUAUGGAAACUCGGUGAAAUCGGAUCGUAAUUUCUGAACAGGGUGCGAUUAUUCGCGUCGCUCAUGCACGCGCUUCAGCAAUGGGACAUUUUGCGUACGAAUUGAAAAACAAGGUUUCGAGGACGGUAUCUCGGUGCAAAAGCAUGAACAGCGAGGCGGCAAACGUCGUGGAUGCGCCGCUGAGUCAGCUACGUAAACAGGCGUCCUUUUGACAAGAGGGGAGAAAGCGAAACGCGCGAACCGAAUUCAUAAAGCGUCUCGACGUUUGCGCGUAAUUAUUUCGAGAGAUCCGUUCUGUUACGAGGAUACUCUCAGUCAAACGAGUCGAGUGGUCCGGGGCUCGAAAUGUUUGAAGCGCGGACGAUUUGCCGGUCGGGUGAAGUGUGAUUCUUUAAGUGUGGACUACUUGAAAAGUACUCCGGUGAAACGCGAUAAUAUUGUGCCUCUCGUGCUCGUUUCAAAGACAGCUUGAUAUCAACGAGUACCGUGUCCCGGAAUCGUUAACGACGAUUCGAAUCGACGAGAUAGCCCGCGAUCGAGGAUCGACGAUCUCGAACGAUCGGCAGCGCCACUGGUCCCAGACAGGGCGUACGGGAGCGACGACAGCGCGCGUAAAAAGAGCCGCUUGGAGGCGUGUGAUGACCGGGAGGAGCGGAAACAAGGGAAGGCAACGGGUUCGCUAAAGAUGCGUGGGUUCACCGGUCCGGAAGGGCUGAGGAGAUCGGUGUCGCCGUCGUUGCUUUACUACUACUGUCUUCUGGUCCCGGUGUACCACGUGCUCGCCGUGACCAGCGAGCUACCGCCCGGGCCCGAUCUGCCCGAGCAUUGUUUGUGGACUCCCUGGCAGGAUGGCGUGGUCACCUGCGUUCACCGUUACGCCGGCAACGACUCGCUGCGGACGAACUUCUCGCAGGCGACCAGCGAAUACGUGACUACCGUGAACGUGGUCUGCGAGGACCCCGAGUCGCUCGGAAACGGUGUCCUGAACGUGGACGGGUUCGUCCAGUUAUGGAGAUUGCGAUCGCUGAAACUGAUCGGAUGCAAGCUGGUACAUUGGCCGGCGAAAGUUCUCGGCGGCCUGCGAGAUCUCCGUAAUCUGACGAUCAGAAGCUUGAACGGGCGAAAGAGCAAUUACAGUUUGGAGGUGGAGAGCGGAGCGUUCGACUCGGUCCCGCAGAUCGAGAAGAUCGAUUUAUCGUGGAACAACAUCUGGCAGUUACCGGAACACUUGUUUUGCCCUCUGUCGAACCUGCUCACGUUGAACAUCUCCUGGAACAUGCUGAAGGACAUCACCGAGCUCAGCUUCAGGGACACGGAGCCGGAAAAGCAUCCGAGACGCCUGCCGGAAUCGACCCCGUCACCGUAUCCCUGUUCCUUGGACAUACAGUCGUUGGAUUUGUCGAACAAUCAAAUUCUUGUGCUGCCCGCCCACGGGUUUUCCUCCUUGAAGAGGUUGCGGGUGUUGAACUUGUCCAGCAACGCGAUCUCCAUGGUAGCGGACGAGGCGCUACACGGACUGAGAUCGCUGGAGACGUUCGAUCUGUCCGGAAACAGGAUCGUCGCGUUACCGACGGAAAUGUUCAAAGACUCGGCGAAAUCUUUGAAGGAGUUACGACUGCAGAAUAACACCAUCAGCGUGCUGUCGCCCGGUCUGAUCGCCGACAUGAAUCAGCUGGUCGAACUGGACCUAUCGAGAAACGCGCUGACCAGCUCUUGGUUGAACUCCGCCACGUUCUCUGGCCUGAUUCGUCUGGUCCUGCUGAAUCUGUCCCAUAAUCGAAUCAGUCGGUUGGACCCGGCCCUCUUCAAAGACCUUUACACCCUGCAGAUAUUGAAUUUGCAAUACAACGAGAUCGAGACGAUACCGGCGGACACGUUCGCGCCGAUGAGCAAUCUGCACAGGCUAGAUCUAACGUAUAAUCGAUUAACCUACCUGGACGCUUACUCCCUGAAUGGGCUGUUCGCACUUUCCCUGCUAUCGCUCGAUUCUAAUCAACUCGAAGGUAUUCACCCGGAUGCCUUUCGGAAUUGCUCCAGUAUGCAGGAGUUGAAUCUGUCCGGUAACAGUCUGGACAGCAUACCGGUCGCUCUGAAGGACAUGAGGAUGCUUCGUACGUUGGAUCUGGGCGAGAAUCAAAUCAGAAGCCUGAACAGGCCGGGAUUUCGUGGAAUGUCCAGUCUGUACGGAUUACGGAUGAUCGAGAACGAGAUCACGAACGUCACCGUCGAGGAUUUCGCCGAGUUGCCCGCUCUGCAGAUCCUGAAUCUGGCUAGGAACAAGAUCGAAACGGUGGAAGACGGAGCGUUUUCCGCGAACCCGGCGUUGCAGGCGAUUCGUUUCGACUCGAAUCUGUUGCAGGACAUGUCCGGCAUGUUCGCGAGCGCGCCUGGUCUGCUCUGGUUGAACAUGUCCGACAACAUGAUCGUACAGUUCGAUUACGGUUACUUGCCGGAGAAAUUGCAGUGGAUGGAUCUGCAUAAAAAUCUUAUUAUGGAUCUCGGGAUCGCGCCGCAGGGCAUGAAAUUAAGGACGCUCGACGUGUCGUUCAACCGGCUAACGAGGAUACACUCGAGAUCGAUACCGGAUUCCAUCGAGCUUCUGUUCGUCAACGAUAAUCUGAUACAUACCGUCGAGCCUCAGACGUUUUUGAACAAGAAAGAUCUGACCAGAGUGGAUCUUUACGCGAAUCAGAUCGUCAAGAUGAACCUGUCCGCGCUUCAGUUGACACAGGUGCCCACUUACCGGCGACUGCCCGAGUUUUAUAUAGGGGGCAAUCCGUUCAUAUGCGACUGCACCACCGAGUGGUUGCAGCGAAUCAAUUCUCUGACGCUGAGGCAACACCCUCGGGUAAUGGAUCUGGAGUCGGUUUAUUGUCGGCUUCCCUACGAUCGACACAAAUCUUACAUACCGUUGCUCGAGGCUAAACCCUCUCAAUUUCUCUGCACGUACAAGGCUCACUGUUUCGCGCUCUGUCAUUGUUGCGACUUCGACGCCUGCGACUGCGAGAUGACCUGCCCGACCAACUGCACUUGCUAUCACGAUCAAUCCUGGUCGGCGAACGUGGUGGAUUGCUCCAACUCCGGCUACAAAACGCUGCCCGGUCGAUUACCGAUGGACGCCACCGAGGUUUACCUCGAUGGAAACAAUUUCGGGGAAUUGAAUUCCCAUUCGUUCAUCGGCCGGAAGAACCUGCAGAUCCUGUACGCGAACGAUAGCAACAUCAUCGCUAUACGGAAUCACACCUUCAGCGGUCUAAAGCGGCUGUUGGUCCUUCAUCUGGAGAACAACAAGAUAAGCGUGCUCAACGGCGUGGAACUGAUGCCGCUCGAAAACCUGAAGGAGCUCUACCUGCAAAACAAUCUACUGACUUAUAUAGAUAACCAAACGUUUCUUCCGCUACGUCAGCUGGAAGUGCUGCGCCUGGAGAAUAAUCGGCUGGGCACUUUCGCCGUUUGGCAACUCGGCCAGAAUCCGUAUCUGGUGGACAUCGGGCUGUCGAGCAACCCGUGGAGCUGCGAGUGCUCUUACUUGGAUCGUGUGCGCGAGUGGAUGUCCCGUAAUCGAGCAAAGAUCAGCGACUGGCGUAGCGUCACCUGUUCCCUCGGCGUGCCCAUAACUCUUCCGGCCAACGGAUCGGUCAUAAAUUGCGCGGCAUUAACGGGCACGACCUCGGUCAUCGAGACCCGACCGCUCGAGGCUUAUCUGCCGCUACUGCUGGCCACCGCCGUGCUCAUUUUUUCCAUGGUGGCGUUGGUGUGCGGCGCCUUCAGGCAUCGCCGUACGCUCAGGGCAUGGGCAGCCAGCAGAUGCGGACUGAGAGCAUGCUACAAGACGGCCGCGUUCGAGGACCAGGAGAAACCCUUCGACGCCUACAUCUCCUAUUCGGCCGUGGACGAGGCGUUCGUAUCCACUAUCCUGGUACCGGGUCUGGAGACCUCGUACCGUUUGUGUUUGCACUAUCGGGACUUGGGCGCCGGCAGCAACGUCGCCGACGCAGUGGCCGAAGCUGCCGAUUCCUCGAGGCGCACCAUCCUGGUGCUCUCCAAGAACUUUCUGCACGGCGAGUGGGCCAGGUUCGAGUUUAAAGCGGCGCUUAGGGACGCUCUGAAAGGCAAGGGCCGCUCGGUGAUCCUGCUGCUGGUAGGCGGUGUGUGUCCACGGGAUCUCGACGCCGAUCUCAAAAAGAGAAUCUCCUCGCACACCGUCCUGGUGUGGGGGGACAAGUUGUUUUGGCAGAAGCUAAGGUUCGCCAUGCCAGACGUGUCCCCUGUUCCUGUUUUGGAGAGACCCUUGCCAUUGCCGCCGCCGCCCCCGCCCCCGGCGCAGCAUCAAUGGACGUAGAACUACCAUUAUUUAGAUGUGAACUGUUGCCAGAAGUAUUAUCGAUUCGCAUUACGCAUGAAGUAAUUGGAAAUCGCAGUGGGCAAAGAUUACCCGACUGUCGCGCGACGUUUCUCUCUACUUAUUAUCAAGAAGUAUUUCUUACUAUCGCAAUUGUACUCCGUAACACGGUGUUCUCACCUAAGUAAACGGUUUAUUCGUAUUUUUGAGACUCGUGAUAGCUUCGUAGUGUGCAAAUGUAAUUAGGGCGAUGAACAGCGAUAAACAAACCAAAACAAAAAAAAACAACAGAGCGAAGGAAAAGCACGGAAAAAA
rnacentral:misc_RNA from 1 species